GAGCGGCCCGCGGCGGGUGGCACCCCAGGAGCGCAGGAUUCUCUUUCUUUGGCUGGCGGUGUGCCCACAGGGGAAGAUGAGAGUGGGUGAAGCCAGAGAACCUGGGAAAGGAUGGCAGAUUGGGGAGACAGUGCUACCUUUCUUCCCCUAGUUUAAUGCCCUUGAACACACCCACUACAGGAAGGAGAUGCCUGCUGAGGAUCUGGGAAGUGAAUAUCUCCCAAAUUAAAAAGUGAAUCCUAACAGCCAUCAGGGCACCCUGGGGUCCCCCUACCAGAGCACACCUGGAAUGUAACCCUUGAAGUUCCUUUAAAAUCCUUCUGUUCCUUCUGAUUUGGAGAGUCGCAGACUUUGGGACAGGAGUCCCCUGUGUUUCUCCUUUGCUAGCAAAGCAAUAAACCUUCUUUUUUCCUUUUUCUCAAAA